rnacentral:tRNA from 1 species
GGGGGUGUAGCUCAGUUGGCUAGAGCGCUUGCAUGGCAUGCAAGAGGUCAGGGGUUCGAUUCCCCUCAUCUCCA